AUUGAACGCUGGCGGCAGGCCUAACACAUGCAAGUCGAGCGGUAGCACGGGUACUUGUACCUGGUGGCGAGCGGCGGACGGGUGAGUAAUGCCUAGGAAUCUGCCUGGUAGUGGGGGAUAACGCUCGGAAACGGACGCUAAUACCGCAUACGUCCUACGGGAGAAAGCAGGGGACCUUCGGGCCUUGCGCUAUCAGAUGAGCCUAGGUCGGAUUAGCUAGUUGGUGAGGUAAUGGCUCACCAAGGCGACGAUCCGUAACUGGUCUGAGAGGAUGAUCAGUCACACUGGAACUGAGACACGGUCCAGACUCCUACGGGAGGCAGCAGUGGGGAAUAUUGGACAAUGGGCGAAAGCCUGAUCCAGCCAUGCCGCGUGUGUGAAGAAGGUCUUCGGAUUGUAAAGCACUUUAAGUUGGGAGGAAGGGCAGUUACCUAAUACGUAUCUGUUUUGACGUACC
rnacentral:rRNA from 1 species